GGGGAAUUUUGGACAAUGGGGGCAACCCUGAUCCAGCCAUGCCGCGUGUAUGAAGAAGGCCUUCGGGUUGUAAAGUACUUUUGUUAGGGAAGAAAAGGGAAGUGCUAAUACCACUUUUUGCUGACGGUACCUAAAGAAUAAGCACCGGCUAACUACGUGCCAGCAGCCGCGGUAAUACGUAGGGUGCGAGCGUUAAUCGGAAUUACUGGGCGUAAAGCGAGCGCAGACGGUUAUUUAAGCAGGAUGUGAAAUCCCCGGGCUUAACCUGGGAACUGCGUUCUGAACUGGAUAGCUAGAGUGUGUCAGAGGGGGGUAGAAUUCCACGUGUAGCAGUGAAAUGCGUAGAGAUGUGGAGGAAUACCGAUGGCGAAGGCAGCCCCCUGGGAUAACACUGACGUUCAUGCUCGAAAGCGUGGGUAGCAAACAGGAUUAGAUAUCCUGGUAGUCCACGCCCUAAACGAUGUCGAUUAGCUGUUGGGCAACUUGAUUGCCUAGUAGCGUAGCUAACGCGUGAAAUCGACCGCCUGGGGAGUACGGUCGCAAGAUUA
rnacentral:rRNA from 1 species